rnacentral:rRNA from 1 species
AGUGAACGCUGGCGGUAGGCCUAACACAUGCAAGUCGAACGGCAGCACAGUAAGAGCUUGCUCUUACGGGUGGCGAGUGGCGGACGGGUGAGGAAUACAUCGGAAUCUACUUUUUCGUGGGGGAUAACGUAGGGAAACUUACGCUAAUACCGCAUACGACCUGCGGGUGAAAGCAGGGGAUCUUCGGACCUUGCGCGAUUGAAUGAGCCGAUGUCGGAUUAGCUAGUUGGCGGGGUAAAGGCCCACCAAGGCGACGAUCCGUAGCUGGUCUGAGGGGAUGAUCAGCCACACUGGAACUGAGACACGGUCCAGACUCCUACGGGAGGCAGCAGUGGGGAAUAUUGGACAAUGGGCGCAAGCCUGAUCCAGCCAUACCGCGUGGGUGAAGAAGGCCUUCGGGUUGUAAAGCCCUUUUGUUGGGAAAGAAAAGCAGCAGGUUAAUACCCCGCUGUUCUGACGGUACCCAAAGAAUAAGCACCGGCGAACUUCGU